GAGGGUAUAGCUCAGUGGUAGAGUGCUAGAGUGCAUGACUAGCAUGCAUGAAGGUCCUGGGUUCAAUCCUCAGUACCUCCA
rnacentral:tRNA from 1 species